ensembl:snRNA U6 U6 spliceosomal RNA
GUGCUUGUUUAACAAUUGUGUAUACUAAAAUUGGGAUGCUGCAGAGAAGGUUAGCAUGUCCCCUGGACAAGGUUUUCACACUAAUCUCUGGUGUUUGGGGUGAUUGG